GAUGAACGCUGGCGGCGUGCCUAACACAUGCAAGUCGAACGAAGCUAUGAGACGGAAGCCUUCGGGUGGAAGACUGAUAGACUGAGUGGCGGACGGGUGAGUAACGCGUGGGCAACCUGCCCCAUACCGGGGGAUAGCAGUUGGAAACGGCUGGUAAAACCGCAUAAGCGCACGGUACGGCAUCUUACAGUGUGAAAAACUCCGGUGGUAUGGGAUGGGCCCGCGUCUGAUUAGCCAGUUGGUGAGGUAACGGCUCACCAAAGCGACGAUCAGUAGCCGGCCUGAGAGGGCGGACGGCCACAUUGGGACUGAGACACGGCCCAGACUCCUACGGGAGGCAGCAGUGGGGGAUAUUGCACAAUGGAGGAAACUCUGAUGCAGCGACGCCGCGUGAGUGAAGAAGUAUUUCGGUAUGUAAAGCUCUAUCAGCAGGGAAGAAAGGCUCGCAAGAGAGAUGACGGACCUGA
rnacentral:rRNA from 1 species